GCCGGAGUGGCGGAACGGCAGACGCAGGGGACUUAAAAUCCCCCACCCCUCUGUGGGUUUGUGGGUUCGACUCCCACCUCCGGCA
rnacentral:tRNA from 1 species